rnacentral:rRNA from 1 species
UACGUAGGGGGCAAGCGUUGUCCGGAUUUAUUGGGCGUAAAGAGCGUGUAGGCGGUCAGGUAGGUCCGUUGUGAAAACUCGAGGCUCAACCUCGAGACGCCGAUGGAAACCAUCUGACUAGAGUCCGGAAGAGGAGAGUGGAAUUCCUGGUGUAGCGGUGAAAUGCGCAGAUAUCAGGAGGAACACCAGCGGCGAAGGCGGCGCUUUGGGCCGGUACUGACGCUGAGGAGCGAAAGCGUGGGGAGCAAACAGG